rnacentral:rRNA from 1 species
GCGUGCUUAACACAUGCAAGUCGAACGGUGAACACGGAGCUUGCUCUGUGGGAUCAGUGGCGAACGGGUGAGUAACACGUGAGCAACCUGCCCCUGACUCUGGGAUAAGCGCUGGAAACGGCGUCUAAUACUGGAUACGAGUAGCGGCCGCAUGGUCAGUUACUGGAAAGAUUUAUUGGUUGGGGAUGGGCUCGCGGCCUAUCAGCUUGUUGGUGAGGUAAUGGCUCACCAAGGCGUCGACGGGUAGCCGGCCUGAGAGGGUGACCGGCCACACUGGGACUGAGACACGGCCCAGACUCCUACGGGAGGCAGCAGUGGGGAAUAUUGCACAAUGGGCGGAAGCCUGAUGCAGCAACGCCGCGUGAGGGAUGACGGCCUUCGGGUUGUAAACCUCUUUUAGCAGGGAAGAAGCGAAAGUGACGGUACCUGCAGAAAAAGCACCGGCUAACUACGUGCCAGCAGCCGCGGUAAUACGUAGGGUGCAAGCGUUAUCCGGAAUUAUUGGGCGUAAAGAGCUCGUAGGCGGUUUGUCGCGUCUGCUGUGAAAUCCGGAGGCUCAACCUCCGGCCUGCAGUGGGUACGGGCAGACUAGAGUGCGGUAGGGGAGAUUGGAAUUCCUGGUGUAGCGGUGGAAUGCGCAGAUAUCAGGAGGAACACCGAUGGCGAAGGCAGAUCUCUGGGCCGUUACUGACGCUGAGGAGCGAAAGGGUGGGGAGCAAACAGGCUUAGAUACCCUGGUAGUCCACCCCGUAAACGUUGGGAACUAGUUGUGGGGUCCAUUCCACGGAUUCCGUGACGCAGCUAACGCAUUAAGUUCCCCGCCUGGGGAGUACGGCCGCAAGGCUAAAACUCAAAGGAAUUGACGGGGACCCGCACAAGCGGCGGAGCAUGCGGAUUAAUUCGAUGCAACGCGAA